GAUGCAGACUGUCAGCGCCAAAUCGAAGUACUUUCAUUUAGUUUUAAGCAAAUUCCUGGAAUACAAUAACUAAGACCAAAGCUGAAAGAACCUCAAAAUGACAACUGUCAUAAUCUACAAGAUACAGCCGAAAAGAUGCAGCAAUGCUGAUACAUCACCCAGUUGAACUGCACAAGUGUUUUGGAAUAAAUAAAAGAAUACUUAGUCUCCCCCCUGAGUCCAUAUCUUCACAGUCUUGUCAUUCCCAAGCGAACCAGAAGCAAUCAUGUUCAUUUGUUAUGGAAAAUGUUGAUGAAAUGCAGUACUUUGAGUUGACAUGGUCUGUGUAAGUUUUCAGAACUUUUCCUGUUGAGAAGUUCCAAAGCCUCAGAGAAUUAUCCAAAGUGCCAACGAGUAUAAACUUGCCAUUGGGCGAGAACUUGACGAAACUCACAGGUGGGUUUUCAUCAUCAAUUAUGGUCUUCAUACAAUGCCCGGUUGAAGCAUCCCAAAUUCUACACAACCCAUCAUAGCUGCUUGACACAAUCAACGACCCAUCCCGAUUAAAAUUCACAGCCGUCACAGGAUCGGAAUGCGCUGGCAGCACCUUGAGACACUUCCCAGUCUUCACAUCCCAUAACCUAACCGUCUCAUCGAACGACCCAGAAACCAACAUAUUAGCUUGGGGAUUGAAGUUAACACAAAAAACAUAAUUUGUGUGACCUGUAAGGGUUUUGAUAUGGGAACCGGUGGAAACGUCCCAUAAUCGUACAGUUUUGUCAUCGGAGGCAGUAACUAGGUGACGGCCGUCGGAGGAGAAGGCAACAUCGGAGAUACCCUGUUCGUGACCUAGGAAUUCGUGAAGAAGGGAUCCGUCGGAGACAUCCCAUGUUCGGGCGGUUUUAUCGGCGGACGAGGUGGCUAGGAUUUUGCCAUCGUCAGAGAAUUUGACACUGGAGAUAGCGCGUUUGUGGCCGGAGAGAGUGAAUUUAAGCUCGUAGGGUUUGAAAGAUUCUGAAGUCUCAAUAGGGGAAGCCAUGGAGGAAGUUAAUUAUUUUCAGAAUGCCAACAAAAAUGGAGUGGGUUUUUUCAGAGGUUUUAGCGACUGAUUUACAUCAGAGGAAACUGAAAUAUCAAGCUUUGAUAAAUCCCGGGACAAGUC
rnacentral:misc_RNA from 1 species